AUGAAAAAUGCAUCAAAAUGCAAACCAGAGAUGAGAAAGUGUGAAGAGAUUUGGGGAGUCGUGAAAAAGACGGGCCGACAGGAAGAGACUAUGAAGUUCGGAGAUGAGAGCACCUGCAUUUUAGCUGAGAAAAGAGGAGACAGAAAGUGGAGAUUUCCGUGUUUGGACCGGCCCUGCAGGAGCGAAGCUGGCUGCGGCCUCUCAGUCAUAAUCAGAGGAAGGAAAGGCCUGGGCCAUCUGAAGGCUGUGACUGCGGCCGAGCCAGUGGCUGGGGUCGUGGCCUGGGACGCGGCGACAGCUCAAGAAAAUGCUCAAACACAUCAGCUGCAUCGACUGCGCCAGGGCGCAGAGACUGCUGUGAUCCAACCUGGGGACAAAGCCUCACUACCCACCAGGUGCCCCGUGUCCUUCCCCAAGCAGCUCCGUUGCCUGGCGGCGAGAGGAGGGUGCAGCUGGGGUGAAGGAGAGAUCUCCGCGGGGGGCGGUCUGCGCUGUGGUGGCUCAAGCCAGCAAAAGGUAGAAGAAGGCUCGAAAUUUUGA
rnacentral:lncRNA from 1 species